CCUACGGGAGGCUGCAGUGGGGAAUAUUGGGCAAUGGGCGCAAGCCUGACCCAGCAACGCCGCGUGAAGGAAGAAGGCUUUCGGGUUGUAAACUUCUUUUGUCAGGGACGAAGCAAGUGACGGUACCUGACGAAUAAGCCACGGCUAACUACGUGCCAGCAGCCGCGGUAAUACGUAGGUGGCAAGCGUUAUCCGGAUUUACUGGGUGUAAAGGGCGUGUAGGCGGGGAAGCAAGUCAGAUGUGAAAACCACGGGCUCAACCUGUGGCCUGCAUUUGAAACUGUUUUUCUUGAGUGCUGGAGAGGCAAUCGGAAUUCCGUGUGUAGCGGUGAAAUGCGUAGAUAUACGGAGGAACACCAGUGGCGAAGGCGACGAUCUGGCCUGCAACUGACGCUCAGUCCCGAAAGCGUGGGGAGCAAAUAGGAUUAGAUACCCUAGUAGUC
rnacentral:rRNA from 1 species